AUUGAACGCUGGCGGCAGGCCUAACACAUGCCAGUCGAGCGGAUGAAGGGAGCUUGCUCCUGGAUUCAGCGUCGGACGGGUGAGUAAUGCCUAGGAAUCUGCCUGGUAGUGGGGGAUAACGUCCGGAAACGGGCGCUAAUACCGCAUACGUCCUGAGGGAGAAAGUGGGGGAUCUUCGGACCUCACGCUAUCAGAUGAGCCUAGGUCGGAUUAGCUAGUUGGUGGGGUAAGGGCCUACCAAGGCGACGAUCCGUAACUGGUCUGAGAGGAUGGUCAGUCACACGGGAAGGGGAACACGGUCCAGACUCCUAAGGGAGGCAGCAGUGGGGAAUAUUGGACAAUGGGCGGAAGCCUGGUCCAGCCAUGCCGAGUGUGUGAAGAAGGUCUUCGGAUUGUAAAGCACUUUAAGUUGGGAGGAAGGGCAGUAAGUUAAUACCUUGCUGUUUUGACGUUAACAACAGAAUAAGCACCGGCUAACUUCGUG
rnacentral:rRNA from 1 species